GACGUAGGGGGCGAGCGUUGUCCGGAGUUACUGGGCGUAAAGGGCGCGCAGGCGGUCGCGCGCGCCGCACCGUGAAAGCCCCCGGCUCAACCGGGCGGUGGCGGGCGGGACGGCGCGGCUGGAGGGUGGUAGGGGCCAGUGGAAUUCCCGGUGUAGUGGUGAAAUGCGUAGAUACCGGGAGGAACACCCGCAGCGAAGGCGGCUGGCUGGGCCAUUCCUGACGCUGAGGCGCGAAGGCUCGGGGAGCGAACGGG
rnacentral:rRNA from 1 species